UAUACAUCGGAUUGGUUUCUUCUUUAAAUUAUAAAGAAGAUAUAUGAUUUUACGAUUACAGAUUACAGAUCGUAAGGAUUUUUUUUAUCAGUAAAAACAAUUCAAACAUGUGUCAUCCAUCAGUAUCAAUCUUUCCUAUCACCAAGACAUGAAGAAAAAACUGACAAACUCAUCACAAAUGUUUUUUUUUUGCACCUCUGAGCUAUUCAUCACAAAAACAGGACAUGAUACUGAUAACUUGUUGUGUUUUCAUAUUUGUGAUGCUUCAACAGGAUGUGGAACCGAAAAGAGCCUGGUUUACAUAGUAUAUGUCUGAAUCACAAACAACUGUUGCCACAACUAGGACAAGUUAACUUAAACUUUAAUCAGCACUCCUUCAUUUAUUUGCCUAAUUGGUAGUGAAGAAAAUAAAAACUUACAUGUAAAUCAUGUGUCUAUAUGCUGGCUAAUGUAAAACCAACGCUACCCACAAUUUUACAUACAGUAGCUGAACAUUUGAUCAUAACUGUUGUGAACAAAAUGAGAAUAUUGCAUAUGACCUUUUUUAUUCUUAUGAAACUAAACUGCAUAUGAAAGUAAGUGGAUCAGAAUUACUUUAUUGCUCAUUAAGUAGGAUACGGGUUUUUCCUAACAUGGCUGUACAUCAAACAUUUUCCUUUCAACAACUUCAUAUUACAAGAAACUGCCCACUCAUUCCUCACCGUCAGACGUGUGUCUCAGCUGGGACACCUUAAGAAAAGAGCAAAAACAAACCGAAGAGCUUCGGCCAGCAUCACACUGUCAAACUGAUGAGGAUACGUCAACAUGCCUGACAGGUUCACUCUGCUUACUUUCAGCUUUUGUUUCAUACUUCACAAUGUUUGUAGUUGGACCGUGAGUGCACCUCUCAACCACACAUUCAAUGAGGACGACUCUGUCAGUGUCACAUGCAUGUUUAAUGGAGAGGAUCAGUUUCAUUUGGAAGCUAAGUUGAAAAUGAAUGAUGAAUAUGUUUGUGAGGUUUAUAACAAAAGCCAAGUACAGGAUAAACGUAACUGUUUAUGGGAGCGUAAGGACAACAAAUUCACGUUCACCUUAUUGAACCCUGAGGGCUUACACAAAAAUAAUUUUUCCUGUGAGAUGUCCAAAAUUAAACCAUUUCCAGUCACAAUGAAAGUAGGACCAAAAACUAAGCUUUUCCGAGGUUGCAAUAAGUCUUUGGCUCCACUGAAGAACAGCUGUCCAAUCACUAACCAAACAAAUAACCAGGAUCACAGACCUGUAGAAAGUUACACACCUGAAGAAGUGUAUACCCUAUUAAUCUGUGGGCUGAUAAUAGUGGUGGUAAUGCUAUCUGUCUACAGCAUUAUUGUUACGGCAGUCUACAUCAGAUUGAGGGCCAUGAAUCCCGAGUCUUCUGACACACUGACCUAUGUCCCAAUGCAGAGGAAUGUAAACUGGCGUAAUCUAGACAACACCGAAUAUGUGGACAUGCGUGAAGUGCAGAAACGGGGAGGAUCCCAAAGAGAUAUGAACCACAACUCUCAUCAUGCUUUUGCCUGAGCCCAUUUCUAGUGGCAUAAGUGAGCUCAUGCUUUGACUGCUCUGCUGGAUGAAUUUCACUUGGGCCACACUAAAGAAUAACACAGGAUAAAACUAUCGCCUUUCUACCAAACAAAACAGACUUUUCUGAAUGCCUGAAUCUGCAUAUUGCGGCUGCACUGCAUACAUUACGCAGUCUUGAUGUUCUCUGUGUCAGAUGGUUUCAUCUGGUGGCUUGUACAACCUAAUGCUGAAUUGUAGCUAUGCCAAGUUAAAUGUAUAUAAAGUAUCUAACUUGGCAUUUUUUAUUUAUCAUUUUGAUCCCAUGGACCAAUAAUCAAUGAUAAUAAGAGUUUUGUUCAGUGCUUCCCCUCCCCCUCUCCCCCCCAAAAAAAUAAAAAAA
ensembl:lncRNA